rnacentral:rRNA from 1 species
UGCAGUCGACGAAGGCUUCGGCCUUAGUGGCGCACGGGUGCGUAACGCGUGGGAAUCUGCCCUUAGGUUCGGAAUAACAGCUGGAAACGGCUGCUAAUACCGGAUGAUAUCGCGAGAUCAAAGAUUUAUCGCCUGAGGAUGAGCCCGCGUUGGAUUAGGUAGUUGGUGGGGUAAAGGCCUACCAAGCCGACGAUCCAUAGCUGGUCUGAGAGGAUGAUCAGCCACACUGGGACUGAGACACGGCCCAGACUCCUACGGGAGGCAGCAGUGGGGAAUAUUGGACAAUGGGCGAAAGCCUGAUCCAGCAAUGCCGCGUGAGUGAUGAAGGCCCUAGGGUUGUAAAGCUCUUUUACCCGGGAAGAUAAUGACUGUACCGGGAGAAUAAGCCCCGGCUAACUCCGUGCCAGCAGCCGCGGUAAUACGGAGGGGGCUAGCGUUGUUCGGAAUUACUGGGCGUAAAGCGCACGUAGGCGGCUUUGUAAGUCAGAGGUGAAAGCCUGGAGCUCAACUCCAGAACUGCCUUUGAGACUGCAUCGCUUGAAU